rnacentral:tRNA from 1 species
UGGCUCAGAUGGUAAAGAAUCUGCCUGCAAUGCAGGAGACCUGGGUUCAAUUCCUAG